rnacentral:rRNA from 1 species
CCUACGGGAGGCUGCAGUGGGGAAUAUUGCACAAUGGGCGAAAGCCUGAUGCAGCAACGCCGCGUGGGUGAUGAAGGUUUUCGGAUUGUAAAGCCCUGUCUUUUGGGACGAUAAUGACGGUACCAAAGGAGGAAGCCACGGCUAACUACGUGCCAGCAGCCGCGGUAAUACGUAGGUGGCGAGCGUUGUCCGGAUUUACUGGGCGUAAAGGGUGCGUAGGCGGAUAUUUAAGUGGGAUGUGAAAACCCCGGGCUUAACCCGGGGACUGCAUUUCAAACUGGAUAUCUGGAGUGCAGGAGAGGAAAGCGGAAUUCCUAGUGUAGCGGUGAAAUGCGUAGAGAUUAGGAAGAACACCAGUGGCGAAGGCGGCUUUCUGGACUGUAACUGACGCUGAGGCACGAAAGCGUGGGUAGCAAACAGGAUUAGAUACCCUGGUAGUC